UACAGAGGGUGCGAGCGUUGUUCGGAAUUACUGGGCGUAAAGCGCGCGCAGGCGGCCUUUUAAGUCUACCCGUGAAAUGCCGGAGCUCAACUCCGUGCACGCCGGGGGAUACUGGGAGGCUGGAGACAGGUAGAGGCAAGCGGAAUUCCGGGUGUAGCGGUGGAAUGCGUAGAUAGUCCGGAAGAACACCUGAGGCGAAGGCGGCUUGCUGGGCCUGAUCUGACGCUGAGGCAGACGAA
rnacentral:rRNA from 1 species